GAUUUGCUUGCUUGGAUGUGGCUAUCUUUAUUUGAGGCCUUGAUCCUCAUGAUGUCUAGAUAUUGUUAUUUGCUUGAUGAUUAUUGCUUGAUUAAAGUCCAAAGGAAAGUGAGUUUUCUAUAUGACAUUCUUGUAUAUUGGAUUGCAUCCCAUUGGUCAGAUCUUUUUAACUCUUAACUUUUAAUUUAUGCUUAGGGUAGC
rnacentral:lncRNA from 1 species